rnacentral:rRNA from 1 species
CUGGGUUGGUAAAAGUGCUGCUCGCAGCUGAUGCAGCCAUGCCGCGUGUAUGAAGAAGGCCUUCGGGUUGUAAAGUACUUUCAGCGGGGAGGAAGGGAGUAAAGUUAAUACCUUUGCUCAUUGACGUUACCCGCAGAAGAAGCACCGGCUAACUCCGUGCCAGCAGCCGCGGUAAUACGGAGGGUGCAAGCGUUAAUCGGAAUUACUGGGCGUAAAGCGCACGCAGGCGGUUUGUUAAGUCAGAUGUGAAAUCCCCGGGCUCAACCUGGGAACUGCAUCUGAUACUGGCAAGCUUGAGUCUCGUAGAGGGGGGUAGAAUUCCAGGUGUAGCGGUGAAAUGCGUAGAGAUCUGGAGGAAUACCGGUGGCGAAGGCGGCCCCCUGGACGAAGACUGACGCUCAGGUGCGAAAGCGUGGGGAGCAAACAGGAUUAGAUACCCCGGUAGUCCA